GCUUCCGUGGCUCAGUUGGUAGAGCGGCGCAUUCGUAAUGCGUAGGUCGCAGGUUCGAAUCCUGCCGGGAGCA
rnacentral:tRNA from 1 species